UCUUUGGAGAAGCGGUGCGCCCUGAACCGGCCGCUGAUGAAGACAGACACAGUGUCCCUGGAGCCCCUGAGCUGAAAGGGACCGGAGAGGGCCGGCAUGGGCCCCGAGCUGCCCGCACCUUGGCUGCUGCUCUUCACCUGGCUCCCAGCAGGGUGUGUGUCCUUGCUGGUGACAGUCCAGCACACGGAGCGCUACGUCACCCUGUUUGCCUCCGUCGUUCUCAAAUGUGACUACACCACCUCUGCCCAGCUCCAGGAUGUGGUGGUGACCUGGCGCUUCAAGUCCUUCUGCAAGGACCCCAUCUUUGAUUACUACUCUGCAUCAUACCAGGCGGCUUUAUCCCUGGGCCAGGACCCAUCCAAUGACUGCAAUGACAGCCAGCGGGAGGUUCGCAUCGUGGCCCAGAGGCGGGGGCAGAACGAGCCCGUGCUGGGGGUGGAUUACCGGCAGCGCAAGAUCACCAUCCAGAACCGAGCAGAUCUUGUGAUUAAUGAAGUGAUGUGGUGGGACCAUGGAGUGUAUUACUGCACCAUUGAGGCUCCAGGGGACACGUCAGGAGACCCAGAUAAGGAAGUGAAGCUCAUUGUCCUGCACUGGCUGACAGUGAUCUUCAUCAUCCUGGGAGCCCUCCUCCUGCUCCUGCUGAUUGGAGUGUGCUGGUGCCAGUGCUGUCCUCAGUACUGCUGCUGCUACCUCCGCUGCCCCUGCUGUCCCACCCGCUGCUGCUGCCCCGAGGAAGCCCUGGCCCACCACCGCUACAUGAAGCAGGCUCAGGCCCUAGGCCCUCAGAUGAUCGAAAAACCCCUGUACUGGGGGGCGGACAGGAGCUCCCAGUUUUCAUCUUAUCCAAUGAACCCACUGCUGCAGCGAGAUUUGUCCCUGCGAUCCAGCCUCCCAGAGGUGCCAGUGACCCAGACCACCGCUCACCCUCCCAUCACCAACGGUGUCCUAGAGUAUUUGGAGAAAGAGCUGCGGAACCUCAACCCAGCCCAGCCCCUGCCGGCUGACCUCCAAGGCAGAUCUGGCCAUCCCCGCAGCAUGCUGUCCUCCCUGGGCUCUGAGGUCGUGGAACGCAGAAUCAUCCACCUGCCCCCGCUGGUCAGAGACCUGCCAUCUUUGCGGAGGACCAGCAACUCCUCCCGCCAGCAGUGGCUCCCCCCGCCUCCCCCCGGACCCUGGGAUCUGAGGGAGGGGAGGAGGCAACACCGCUACUCUGAUUUCCAGCAGGAGCACCGGGACCCGGAGCCUCAGCGCUGGGCGUUGGAGCAAAGGGAGCUGGGCCGACUGCGGAGCGGAAGGCACCGCGGCUCCAGGCAGCGCGGGUCACCCACGCCCUGGUCAGACAGGGACAGCCUCAGCGACGGCCCCUCGUCCAGCGAGGCCCGCUGGCCGCCCAACCGCCCCCCUCUCCGGAGCCGCUACCCAGAGAGACCCCGCGGGCCCAGCCCCCGGGGCAGCGCCCGGGGCCACCAGAGGCGCCGGCACCGCAGCUACUCCCCUCCGCUGCCCUCCGGCCUCAGUUCCUGGAGCUCCGAGGAGGAGGAGGAGAAGGAGAGGCAGCCCCGGAACUGGGGGCCCCGCCGCCGCCGCCGCCGCUCGCGCUCCCCAAACUGGCCUGAGGAGAAGCCACCCAGCUACCGCUCGCUGGAUGUCACCCCAGGCAAGAAUGGCAGGAAAAAAGGGAGUGUGCAGAGGCGCUCGGAGAGAGAGAGCUCCCAUAGUGGAAGGAGUGUGGUCAUUUAGUCACCAGGCACAACACUGCUUCUGUGGCUACUUCUCAGCUCCUGCGUGUCAUCAGCAUCACCUAGAUUUCCAGCUGACUUGGGAGGGGCCAUUCCAGCUGACUUGAGAUGGACACCGCAAGUUUGUAACUAACAGUUUUGGCUUAGGUUCUGAGAAUCAAAUAGAAGAAUUUUAUAAACAAAAUUUGAGGAAUUAAUGACUGUAAUUUUAGCCUUGGUACACACCCUGCAUAUUUAGAUAGUCAGACUUGUAAUGAAUUCUAACUGGGAUGUGAUCCCUCAGGAACUUAGUAGCCUGAGUCUUCAACUAGGUUACACUGCUCAGAACUGUGGCCAUUCUCAAAGUGAGAACUCAGGAAUCUUUAAGAGGAAAUCAAACAUUUCCUGCUCCUCUUAGGAGCAGGAAAUCUAUGGAGUACUAUAGGGAAAUUUCCACGGAAACUUGUCUCCCCCUAUAGCAUAUCUAGAGGAUCCCUCCAUGUUACCAGUCCACUUUACUGCCCCCAAGCCUGGUCCUGAAUGCCUUUGAGGGUUCACUCAGAGAUGGCACAGGAAAUACUCCAGCAAUGUGCCCUCUCACAGGCUAUUUAUUGCGUGUGUAGAAAGUCACAGAGAAGCACUUUUGCACCAGUCUUAUUCCUGUCCUUUGUUUUCUUCUUGCCUUUUUUUUUUUUUUUUGGCCUAUAUGUAAUUUAUAUUUUCCUAUAUAACAUGCAUCCAUUAAAACCACUUUAAAUGCUUCUUGGGAACAACACAGUACAUAAGUAAAGAAGAAGUAAGUGAAACCUACUGGCCUGAGGAUUCUGCCCCAAACAUCUAUUUUGAUGCACUUGAUGAAAUUAAGCCUUCUUCCCGACUAAAGCUCAGAGAAGAGCCAGGCCAACCUGAUAAUUUUGGAGUGACCUUUCUCCUGGCACCACUCAGCCUUGCAGAGUUAUUCCCCAAGCAAAGGCAUCCAGGCAGGUUUUACUACUCAGUGCCCCAGGAGGAAGGGUCUGUGCCUCUCUGUAAUAGGCCCUACCUGUCUCUCUCAUUUUCCUCAGCCCCUUCUGGUGGCUUCAUCAAUCCAUUUGUGCUUCAUGUAGAGACUCUCCUUGAGCAGACUAAAUGACACAAGAGACAAGCAAAAGAUGACUCUGAAGGGUGCUAAGAAGAAGACGAUUUGGUUUGGGAACCCAGGACCAGAUGAUAACACAGAGGCAGGGCAUCUUGUGUCCCCCAACCAACAGAAGGCAGCCACCCAGACCUGAUGUUUUUCUGACUUCCCACUUGGCAACAGAAAGUAGUCUAGUAGCUUGUUCUUCCCGCUGUAGUGGGAGUCCCUCUGACAACCUCAGGCAAGGGGGAACAACUGGGAGUCCUGCCAAAAAUAAGUGACCAGGGGAAGCAUUCUCCUACCCUGCUGGGCCAGAGACUCCUCUCUUCUAUGGAGAGAUACUGAUGUGGAUGGGAGGAACCAGUAAGAGACACCCAGGUAAAGCAGGUGGCCCACCUGGGGAAGCCUCUUUGUCCCCAAGGGCCAGAGACUCUCCUCCUCUGCCCAGAGACACUAGGGCUGACUGGCGGAAUCAUGAAAAAGAACCUGUCACAGCUAGCAGCCCUGUAGCUAGCAGCCUGGUCCCAGAAAUCACUUUAUCUCUCCUCCCUGCCCAGAGAAACCUGGGUAGCUGGGGGGGGGGGGCUGGGGGGGAUUACUAAUAGAAGGAUUUCCUCACCUGCCUCCCUCAGGCAGUCACAAAGUCUCUGAAAAUUAAACUGUUGUUGGAAUCACAGCCCACAAAAGUAGGCUAAGACUCAUGUGUUAAACUUAAAUAGAGUAAAUUCGUGUAAAAUAAAAUAUUUAAAUAGGUCCCAGAUUGUCCUAACACAAUAGACCAAAUGUCCAGGAUAUAAAUCAAGAACCUAGAAAAUCACAACUUGAAUGAAAAGUGAAAUCAACUGAUGCCAACACUGAGAGGAAUCAGAUGUUGGAGUUAUCUGAUAAGAAUUUUAAGGCAGACAUUAUAAAGAUCCUACAACAAUCAAUUACAAAUUGUCUUAAAUUAAAAUGUAGAAAAUCCCAGAAAAGAAAUAGAAGUUAUGCAAAAAAGAAACAGGUGGAAAUUAUAGAACUGAAAAAUACAAUAGAGAUUUAAAACUUGCUGGAUGGGCUCAACAGAAGACUGGAGAUGAUGAAGAAUAGAAUCAGUGAACAUGAGGACAAAACAGUAGAAUUCACCCAGUAUGAAUAAUGGAAAAGAGAUUGGGAAAAAAAUGACCAGAGCCUCAGGGACCUGUGGAACAAUAACAAAAUAUCCAACAUUCAUUUCAUUGGAGUCCCAGAAAGUAAAGGAGAAAGAGUGGGGAAAUGAAUAAGCAUUCAAAGAAACAAUGACUGAAAACUUCCCAAAUUUGAUGAAUGACAUCAACAUAGAGAUCCAAGAAGCUGAAUGAACUCUAAACAGGAUAAACCCAAAGAAUCCGUGCCAAUACACAUCAUAAUUAAACUUUUGAAAACUAAAGACAAAGAAAAAAAUCCUGAAAGCAGCCAGAGAGAAACAAUGCAUUCCCUAUAGGGAAACACCAAUUUGAAUGGAUUUCUCAUGUGAAAUCAUGAAAAAGGAAAUGGCCAAAUAUUUUUUUAAGCACUGAAAGAAAAUAACUGUUGACCCAUAAUUUUAUAUCUGGCAAAACUAGUUUUCAGAAAUGAAGGGAAAAUAAAAACAUUCACAGAUGAAUGAAAACUAAAAGAUUUUGUGACUAGCAGAUACACCCUGGAAAGACUGGACAAAGGAAGUUCUUCAAACAGAAAGAAAAUGAUAAAAGGAAACUUAAGCAUCAGAACGCAAGAAGAAACAAUAGAAAGAUCGGAAAUAUGAGUCCAUACAGUAGACAUUUUUUGAGUAUUACAUGGUAUUAUAAUUUGUUUCAAUCAUAAAAUAUGAUUUAUAAAACCCAAAAGGAAAAAAAUCUCACAAAAGAAAUAGAAGUUAUGCAAUGAGUUAACAAUGAUAUGUAAAGGUGGGGAAGGUAAAGAGACCUAAUUGGAAGUGAGGUUUCUAUAUUUCAUUUUAAAUUGUAAACACUGUGAUACCAAGUACAGAGUUACAAGCAGCACCCAGAGCAACCACUAUGAAAACUGCAGAGAUGAACUCAAAAGUGCUAUAAACUAAGAUGGAAUCCUAAAACAUGUUCAAAUAACCUGCAGAAAGGCAAGAAAAAAGAAUAAAGAGCAACAACAACCAAAGGAAACAAGUAGAAACUAAAUAAUAAAAUAGCA